CACGGGGGGAGCAAGCGUUGUCCGGAAUCAUUGGGCGUAAAGGGCGCGUAGGUGGCCCGGUCAGUUCGUGGUGAAAGCGCGGGGCUCAACCCUGCGUCGGCCAUGAAUACUGCCGCGGCUGGAGCACUGUAGAGGCAGGCGGAAUUCCGGGUGUAGCGGUGGAAUGCGUAGAGAUCCGGAAGAACACCGGUGGCGAAGGCGGCCUGCUGGGCAGUUGCUGACACUGAGGCGCGACAGCGUGGGGAGCAAACAGG
rnacentral:rRNA from 1 species